rnacentral:rRNA from 1 species
AUUGAACGCUAGCGGGAUGCUUUACACAUGCAAGUCGAACGGCAGCGCGGACUUCGGUCUGGCGGCGAGUGGCGAACGGGUGAGUAAUGUAUCGGAACGUGCCCAGUAGCGGGGGAUAACUACGCGAAAGCGUAGCUAAUACCGCAUACGCCCUACGGGGGAAAGCAGGGGAUCGUAAGACCUUGCACUAUUGGAGCGGCCGAUAUCGGAUUAGCUAGUUGGUGAGGUAACGGCUCACCAAGGCGACGAUCCGUAGCUGGUUUGAGAGGACGACCAGCCACACCGGGACUGAGAAACGGCCCCGACUCCUUACGGAAGCAGGCGUUGGGAAUUUUGGAAAAUGGGGGCAACCCUGAUCCAGCCAUCCCGCGUGUGCGAUGAAGGCCUUCGGGUUGUAAAGCACUUUUGGCAGGAAAGAAACGUCGCGGGCUAAUACCCCGUGGAACUGACGGUACCUGCAGAAUAAGCACCGGCUAACUACGUG